rnacentral:lncRNA from 1 species
GAGACAGGUUUGAGAGUUUUCUCUUGCCUUCUUGCCCAUUAAGCAGCUUUAUUGCUGUUUUUCUUUUCUCAAAAGCUGGUGCCAUGGCAUUGGCCUCUAUGUGAAUUGGACACCAAGCCCAUUGAUCGCUUGGUAACAAUACCAUGUUCCUAGAUGGGAGGACUUAAUAUUAUUAGGAUACCAAUUCCCCCCAAAUGAACACAAAUAUUAGAUUUUUCUCCUUGACUCUUGACAGUGAAAGCUUGCGUAUGAACAAUUAAAGACUCCCACUGAGGAUUCUGAAUCUGAAACUCAUACUGCAAAGAAUCAGGGGAUACUUUAGAAUUCACUCUAGUUAUGGUGAUGGUGAUGGUGGAGAUGCCAGAGGAGGGGAUGGAGGGGAAGUGGCGGGAGGUGCUGGUGUUAUGGGGGUGGUGGUGGAGGAGCAGGUGGUGGAGGUGAUGGUAGGAUGGCAGCACCCAGCACCCAGAGUCUAGUGUAGACAAUAGCAGCAGAAUCAGAACAGCCUCUUGGCAGCAAGCGUCCAGGGCAAUGUCUCCAGUGGCACCAUUUGGCUUGUUUUUGGCUCUCUGGCAUCCCUCUAUCCUGGCCUUUUGUCCAAGGGUUGCUUCUAAACACUACAAUCUCUUACUAAGACAUCCGUUAUCCUUCUAAGUCUCUUUGCUGCCUAUGUUUAAUAAAGUAAGUUUCUAUUGCUUACAACCAAGAACUCUGGGACAAUGAGUCUUCCAAUCUUGAGUAAAGGAAGUAUUUUGUAAGCAAGGCAGGAAACCAGAAAUAUUGUUUUAAAAGCAGAAGACUGACUAAUUUAACCACAAAACUUGAAACAACUCAAUAGGAAAAGUGAAAGCGCCAAGUUCUUAAGGGUCACAGCACAGAAGAAAGAGGAAGGCUGGUAAACAUAGAAUAAGAUGCUCAUUCUCACAAAUCUUCAGAUGGAAAAAAUGAAAUUCCAUUUUUCCCUUUAGGUUAGCACAAAAAUACAUAAAUGAUACAUAAUAUCCAAGGUGUGACUGGGUGGGAAAAUGGGGUCUCUUACAAAGCACUGGACAAUGCAAAGAGGUGACAUUUUCAGCUGAAUUGAAGGGUAUCUCCCAGCAUUCGAGGUGAGAGUUUUCUCUACUCAAAAAUGUUAUUUCUCAGUAUUUAUCUUAAUAGAAAUACUUGCACAAAAGCAUGAAAAUAUUAAUAGCUGACUUAUUUAUAGCAGCCCCAAAGUGUAGGCAAUCUAAAUAGUAUCAACAGGGGAUAAUAUUUACUUCCAAAAUAACCAAAAUAUGGAACAAAACAAAAUAUGGAAAACUGAGGAGGAAGUAAAAAGUGUUUAAUGGAACUAUAUUUACUGAUCUAAAAGGCUCCUUGGUUUGGUUUAUUCUUUUUUUUUUUUUUUUUGAGUUAGGAUCUCACUCUGGUGCCCAGGCUGGAGUGCAGUGCCAUGAUCUCGGCUCACUAUAAACUCUGCCUCCUGGGCUCAAGUGAUCCUCUCACCUCAGCCUCCCCAGUAGCUGGGACCACAGGCAUGUCCACCCAGCCAAGCUAAUUUUUGUAGAGAUGGGGUCUUGCUAUGUUACCCAGGCUGGUCUCAAACUCCUGGGCUCAAGCGAUCCUCCCACCUUGGCCUCCCAAAAUUCUGGGAUUACAGGUAUGCACCACCUCGCCCGGCUGGUUUAUUCCUUAGUGAAAAGGUGAUUGCAAAGCACUCUAUAUGGUAUGAUUCAAUUUCUCUUUUAAAUUUGUUUGAAUUGCAAGGAGGUGGGUACGUUCAAGUUAGACUUUAUAUACCUCUGUAACAAGCAAUAUUGUAAAACCAGCAUGUUUUGCUUUUCCAGUUUCUAAGCAAAACUAAAAGUAAAAAGGAAUUGGAGUCCAUGGGAUACACCUUUCAUGGUAAAUUAGUAGCAGUGUUUCUCGUUUGUCCUGAAUCCUUGUGAACCUGCUGGGGGUCCUAGCUAGUCUUGGUGUAGGCUGGACCUUGGGCUGUGCCCUAUGCCUUCCUGCUAGGGGAGUUGAAGAAGGACAGGAGGAGGCAUGAAACAUGCCUGGUUUCAUCCCAUGGCUUCAGGAAAAUCACUCCAGAGCCUAGAUCAAGUUAAUAGGAGAAACACUGCAAAGAGUAAUAUAGCUACCUAUAUUACGGACAGAUGAAAAGGUAUUUAUUUGACCCAGUAAGUACAAUCUACCAUGCCUGCGGCACAUCCUGAAGGAAUAUUACUGGGGGCCUGACUGCAUGACUGCUCUUUGAUUUAUGGAGCCAAAGUGAAUGAAAGGCAGGGUCAAUACAACUGCCUUUCGGCUCCACUUUCCAUUCCAUUUCAUAGAGCAGGUGAAAAGAUAUGCCUGCCUAUAACAGGACUGGGUGAAACUCAGGAACCUCCAAUGGAACAUUUGCAUGUCUGUGUCAGUGGGCAUUUCUGUCAUCCAAGAGGGGACUUCCAUCUGAGGUGGCUUUUGAGGCAGGAGCAUAGCUCCGUCAGGAGGAGGCCUGAGCUAAAUGCACAUUGUCCAUGCUGGGAGCUUUCUGGGCAGGGCUCAGGGGGACGGGUUGAGGGGGCUUGUCUAGGAGCUGGAUUUCUGAAACGUGAUACAUGGCUCCUGUUUCCAGUGGAUCAGCCUGCCUUUCAGAACCUACAGGAGACUGUACUUCCAAGAAACAAGUGCUUUCC